rnacentral:rRNA from 1 species
UACGAAGGGGGCUAGCGUUGUUCGGAAUUACUGGGCGUAAAGCGCGCGCAGGCGGUCUUCCAAGUCAGUGGUGAAAGCCCGGAGCUCAACUCCGGAACUGCCAUUGAAACUGUUAGACUUGAGGAUGAGAGAGGUGAGUGGAAUUCCCAGUGUAGAGGCGAAAUUCGUAGAUAUUGGGAAGAACACCGGUGGCGAAGGCGGCUCACUGGCUCAUUUCUGACGCUCAGGCGCGACAGCGUGGGGAUCAAACAGG